ensembl:lncRNA
UGAAAGGAUUGAAGGGCUCGUUCUACUGCCAGCAUCUCAAGGCAGUUGAUAUGGAGAUGGCUUUCCUCGUGCGACCACGAGCCGAAGGUUGGUCUGCCCUCGCACAGAGCACCCCAACCCAGGUUGGACGCAUCUGUUGAGAGCACCGUCCUUCUGGAAACCGCCUGUAGGGGUACUCCACGACUGAACCAAACAGGGUUCAUCCAAGGCUCCAGGGCUGCUAGACAGGCCUGGUUGACCCUGAUGCGAAAGCGGCCGUGCCGCCAAGCAUGAGGUGGGACCCGGAGUUUCAGCCAGUAUUGCAGGGGCCGCAUUCAUAGGAGGCCGAGCUGUAAAACUGGGGAGGCGGAAGCCAUCAGCCCUAGCAUCCUCUGAAAGAACUUCAGAGGGAAACAGGCUUUGUUCCUGACGGAGGCCGUGAGCUGCUGAAGUACCAGAGCGCGCUCUGGUGAUAUGACCGCCCUCAUAUUGGCUGAAGCUGCGAGUGACAUGGAGUCGUCAAGCAGCUCGUCCUCCGAUCCACCAAAAGAGACAAGGUCGCUCGCUUCAGCCGAGGGACGCUGCUCUGGGCGUGAGAAGAGGACAUGGGACGGCUCUCUCAUUGGAGAGAGUGAGGCACGCGGGUGCUGAGCCGGCGUGAGCUCACCCAAAUCCGGGCGCUGAGCCCCUCUUCCCCGCUGUCUUUUCCUGGCCGGCUCGCGGGAGGAAAAAGACGGGGGGGGGGGGGGAGAGCUCGUUCCAGGCGAAGGCAUUCAGCAAAGAUCCAGCGAAGUGAAGUCAUCGCUGAAGGAGUAAGAUCUGAUUUCCUCUGGCGAUUUGCCUGCUUAUAUAGCCAUUCGCCCCACCCAUUUUGGCGGGCUUUGGCGUGCUGCAUCACCACAGGCUCGCGCAGCUACGCAGCACUGUCAUUGGUUUAAAAAAGUUUACAUAUUAAACCAAUGGCAGUGCAGUUGCACUGCGUUAUUGAAAAAAGGCUUCAGUAUCGAGGAAAAAGGAGCUUUUACCCAUACGCAGUAUGAGUGAAGUAUCGAAAGGGAACUGUGUGAUGUAGGUGUGUUGCUGUGUUAAGAGUUUAGAAAAAGUACUUUAAGUAUUGGUAAACGCUUGUUAGCAAUUGAAAAAAACUGUAAUAACAAUGGAUGAAAUGUUUAGACCCCUACUGAUGAUUAAAUCUAGAGUGUGUCCACCUUUGUGUGUGGGUCCAUGCACAUGCUGAAUCAGGUCAAAAGUGUUUAGAACGUUAUCAUUUCUUUUGUAGUUUUGUUUUCUGCAUUAUCUAUGUGAAUAUUAAAAUCCCCUGCAAUAGCAAAACAGUCAAACUCUGAGGAAAUCAUUGAUAACAUUCCUGUGACCUCUUCAACAAAGGCUGGAGAGUAUUUUGGAGGCCUGUAAAUAAUGAUAAACAGAAUGCGUGGAGCACCUUUCAGCACAAUUCCUAGAUAUUCAAAAGACAAGUACUGACCAAAUGAUACUUGCUUGCAUUGAUAGACAUCUUUAAAUAGAGCAGCUACACCUCCACCUCUCC